CUACGGGCGGCUGCAGUGAGGAAUAUUGCACAAUGGGGGGAACCCUGAUGCAGCAACGCCGCGUGGAGGAUGACGCAUUUCGGUGUGUAAACUCCUUUUAUAUGUCAAGAAAAUGACGGUAGCAUAUGAAUAAGCACCGGCUAACUCCGUGCCAGCAGCCGCGGUAAUACGGAGGGUGCAAGCGUUACUCGGAAUCACUGGGCGUAAAGGACGCGUAGGCGGGUUGGAAAGUCAGGUGUGAAAUCCUACAGCUUAACUGUAGAACUGCACUUGAAACUUCUAAUCUAGGGGAUGGGAGGGGGAGAUGGAGUUAGUGGUGUAGGGGUAAAAUCCGUAGAUAUCACUAGGAAUACCUAAAGCGAAGGCGAUCUCCUGGAACAUUACUGACGCUAAGGCGUGAAAGCGUGGGGAGCAAACAGGAUUAGAUACCCUAGUAGUC
rnacentral:rRNA from 1 species